rnacentral:lncRNA from 1 species
GAAAAAGCUAGUUAGAGUCAAGACUGCCACUGGAUGCCAUACCGAGACACUGGCUGCUUCCUUUUACUGAAAUCCUCCAUGUCACUGUUAAAAACCCCCUACUGAGAUGAGGAUUAUGAAAAAUACUGCAACUCACAGAUGGCAAACCACUUCAGGGACAGCUGCAAGAGCCAUUUCAAGAUAUUUGAAAAGAAACUGUACUAAAUAUGGACAUUAAAAUAUCCAGCAGGAAAGCAUUAACUAUUGCUAAAUAAUGAAUGCCAGAACCAUUCACCAUUCAUCAGCAAAAGCCAGGACAGCUGAGAUUUUUAGGAAGCAAUGAAACGUCAGUAUCAUAGCACACAGGCUCCAUGCUGGACCCAUGACAAACAUCUGCCAAGACCAUGAAAGGAUUAAACCAAGACACAGAAAAACUGCAAGUUUCUGCGGGCAUACAGGAGAUUCUUCACCAGCAUGUCACCAGAGAACAACACUCUGCAUGGCCAGAUAUACUGCCCAAAUGAAGGGACAGGGACAAAUUCAGCUUAACUGAAAUGAAUAGUUGUCUUCAGUGAAAUCUAGAUUCACCCCUUAUCCUCCACACACAGGUUAUUUUUCCAGACCUAAAAAUGGCAAUAAGGUAAGAAAAUUUAAAAUACAAAUGAUUUAUUGGAUAUUUAUUGAUCAAGUAAAUAUGUAUUGUAAACUCU